GAUGAACGCUGGCGGCGUGCCUAAUACAUGCAAGUCGAGCGAAUGGAUUAAGAGCUUGCUCUUAUGAAGUUAGCGGCGGACGGGUGAGUAACACGUGGGUAACCUGCCCAUAAGACUGGGAUAACUCCGGGAAACCGGGGCUAAUACCGGAUAACAUUUUGAACCGCAUGGUUCGAAAUUGAAAGGCGGCUUCGGCUGUCACUUACGGAUGGACCCGCGUCGCAUUAGCUAGUGGGUGAGGUAACGGCUCACCAAGGCAACGAUGCGUAGCCGACCUGAGAGGGUGAUCGGCCACACUGGGACUGAGACACGGCCCAGACUCCUACGGGAGGCAGCAGUAGGGAAUCUUCCGCAAUGGACGAAAGUCUGACGGAGCAACGCCGCGUGAGUGACGAAGGCUUUCGGGUCGUAAAACUCUGUUGUUAGGGAAGAACAAGUGCUAGUUGAAUAAGCUGGCACCUUGACGGUACCUAACCAGAAAGCCACGGCUAACUACGUGCCAGCCGCCGCAGUAA
rnacentral:rRNA from 1 species